GGGCGCUUAGCUCAGCUGGAAGAGUAUCUCGUUUACACCGAGAGGGUCGGGAGUUCGAACCUCUCAGCGCCCACCA
rnacentral:tRNA from 1 species